rnacentral:rRNA from 1 species
AACCGAGAACUCCUACGGGAGGCAGCAGUGGGGAAUUUUGGACAAUGGGGGCAACCCUGAUCCAGCAAUGCCGCGUGAGCGAAGAAGGCCUUCGGGUAGUAAAGCUCUUUUGUCAGGGAAGAAACGGUAGUAGCUAAUAUCUAUUACUAAUGACGGUACCUGAAGAAUAAGCACCGGCUAACUACGUGCCAGCAGCCGCGGUAAUACGUAGGGUGCAAGAGUUAAUCGGAAUUACUGGGCGUAAAGCGUGCGCAGGCGGUUGUGUAAGUCAGAUGUGAAAUCCCCGGGCUCAACCUGGGAAUUGCAUUUGAGACUUCACGGCUAGAGUGUGUCAAAGGGUGGUAGAAUUCCACGUGUAGCAGUGAAAUGCGUAGAUAUGUGGAGGAAUACCGAUGGCGAAGGCAGCCCCCUGGGAUAACACUGACGCUCAUGCACGAAAGCGUGGGGAGCAAACAGGAUUAGAAACCCCAGUAGUCCGACUGAGA